AAUUCUAUGUUUGAUUGGUCCAUUCUACUUAUUGACAACUCGAACCGAAGUGGAUCAAUGGAUUUUGUUGUUCCCCCAACAGACUCAUCUGUAU